rnacentral:rRNA from 1 species
CCUACGGGUGGCUGCAGUGAGGAAUAUUGGUCAAUGGACUUAAGUCUGAACCAGCCAAGUCGCGUGCAGGAAGACGGCCCUAUGGGUUGUAAACCUCUUUUGUCCGGGGGCAAAUCCCGAUACGUGUAUCGGGUCUAAAGUAACGUACGAAAAAGCAUCGGCUAACUCCGUGCCCGCAGCCGCGGUAAUACGGAGGAUGCGAGCGUUAUCCGGAUUUAUUGGGUUUAAAGGGUGCGCAGGCGGAAGAUCAAGUCAGCGGUAAAAUUGAGAGGCUCAACCUCUUCGAGCCGUUGAAACUGGGUUUCUUGAGUGGGCGAGAAGUAUGCGGAAUGCGUGGUGUAGCGGUGAAAUGCAUAGAUAUCACGCAGAACUCCGAUUGCGAAGGCAGCAUACCGGCGCUCAACUGACGCUCAUGCACGAAAGUGUGGGUAUCGAACAGGAUUAGAUACCCUGGUAGUC